GUAGUCUGCAACUCGACUACAUGAAGCUGGAAUCGCUAGUAAUCGCGAAUCAGAAUGUCGCGGUGAAUACGUUCCCGGGUCUUGUACACACCGCCCGUCACACCAUGGGAGUCGGAUAUGCCCGAAGUCUGUGACCCAACGAAAGAGGGAGCAGCCGAAGGCAGGUCUGAUAACUGGGGUGAAGUCGUAACAAGGUAGC
rnacentral:rRNA from 1 species